UGAGUUUGAAUCGAAUCUUCCUGGCUAAGAGCCAGAUUCUGACUACAUCCGUCAGCUAUGAUUAUUGGGUUCCCCAGCCCAUAGCAAAUUGAACAUGGGUUGGGGCUGCUAAGGGCAGCUACUCCGAGGACAAUAGAAGAGAAGCCACGAGUUAGAGUUAGACUGCUGGAAAACCUAUGUGAGAGAUAAAGGAACUCCAGCAAAUAUACUUAUUGGGAAUAUUUGGCAUAAAACCAGAGUCCUACACAGUUAUUUGGAUGAAAUGCUUAUUUCUUUUUUAACAUAAGCAUUGACUGGAAAUAUUGGUUAUUCUGUCUGAUAUUACAUGAAGGUCAGAUGCCCUCCAUGCAACCAUGAGGUCGGAUGGCAGUUUGAUGCUGAACCAGCAAACAAGCCUACUCAGCAUGAAACUAUGAGUAUAAAAACCUUUAUGAUGACCUACCUCCACUUGGAUCAAUGAAGAGAGCAAGAAGACAACUUAAUUAAGAGACAGCAUUUAAUGACAAGGAAAGAAAAUGUUCCUUAUCUUGUAAAUUCCUUCGCUAAUGGAAUCUUCCAGCCCACCCUGGGAAGAAGAGUUGUGGACAUAGACACAUACAGAGAGAAGACCAUGUGAAGUCACAGGGAGAAGACAGCCACCUACAUACCAAGGAGAGAGGCUGUACAAGAAACCAACCCUGAUGACACCUUGAUCUUGGACUUCCAGCUUCCAGAUUUACAGGAAAAUAAAUUUCCGUUGUUUAAGCCACACAGUCUAUGGCAUUUUGUUAUGGCAGUUCUAGCAAACUAAUAUACAGCCUAUAUCAUAUACUACUCAGUUUGACUACUUUUAUUUUGGAACAUAUUAUACUUUUGCUACUUUUGCUUAUGCAGUUUCUUUUGCUUAGUGUCCCUUGCUAGUAGAUAUUUAUAUUUAAAGAUAUUUUAGGCCUGGCACAGUGGCUCACACCUGUAAUUCCAACACUUUGGCAGGCUGAGGUGAGUAAAUCACUUGAGGCCAGGAGUUUGAGAUCAGCCUGGCUAACAUGGCGAAACCCCUUCUCUACUAAAAAAUACAAAAGUUAGCUGG
rnacentral:lncRNA from 10 species